UGCUGUAGUGUGAAGAAUGCAAAACGUGUUUGAAGAGACAGGGCUUUUGUGGCUCCAAGCCACUUCUAUGGAUGGUCAAGCGUUUCCAGAAAUCCUUCUUGCAACAGCCCUCUUGUGAGUCACAGACUUAGCCAAUGCUCACAAUCCUUAACACAAGCCCACGUGUAGCCAGGAGCAGGCUGAUGCAUUCUUCAGUUUAGCUUGAACAAACAGCCCUUGCGGGCUGGCAAAGGCAAGUCCCAGAGCUGCAGAGAGCAGCAGCAGGAAUGGAGGCCAAGCUUUGCCAGGUUCCUGAAGAGGGAGGACCUUGAGAAUGAGGCGCGGGACUGACCAUGCACCAAAGAAGAGCCCCGUUACGAAUUCCUGCCCAAACCUGGGAAGAAGAAACAAAAUGCCAGAGAUUACUGAAUGCACCAAGAAGACACAGCAGAGAUGACGGAGGAAAACAGCAAGAGGGGAAGGAGAGGAGGAGCAGAGGACACGCAAGGUGCAGGUCCCACGGUGUCCUUUGGUCUCCGACGUUCUCCAGUGGCGUCCUGUGGUUUCCAGCGGCCUUCUUCAGUCUCCCACGGUCUCCAGCGGGCUUCUCUGUGCCUGCAUUUAUAGCUGUUAUUGUCUAUAUGUACAUAUUUUUCUAAACUAUAUUGUCCAUAGACACACAUAUAGGGAGAAGGAGAGAGAAAACCAAAGUCUUAAUUGUUUGCUGAAAUGUGAAAACCUUCUUCCUUUUUAAACCAAGACACAGAGCCAAUGGUGUCCUGUGGUUUCUAGCGGUGUCCUUCGGUCUCCGGACAGUCUCCUGCAAUCUCCAGCAAUCUCCGGUGGUCUCCUGUGGGCUUCCGUGUGCACACAUUUAUCGAUUUAAUUUUCUAUUUUUACAUGUCUUUAUAAACUAUACAGUCUGCAUACACAUAUAUAGGGAGAAGGAGAGAAAAUUUGCCUCCGUUUUUAACGCAAACAUUUGUCCAAAGGUGUAAGAACCAUGUCUUUGAAUUCCCACAAUUCCUUCCAACAGACGUUUUAUUUACUUCAAAAGAACCACCCUCAGAGGAGGAAUCCCGCCACGGCACUAUGGGACGAGGAGCAGGAACAGAGGUAACAUAGGACCCAUCUCAAGUUUGUUUCCACAACUCUCCCCAGGCACAGGAUGUUUCGGAAAGAUGGACCCAAUUGGAAAUCACUCUGCGUGUGAAAUUGGGACCGUGUUUUUGAAACACGCUGUAGUAUUGCUGGAGACACAUCCCCUGGUCCCUCUGCUUCCAAAUUUGCACAAAGCCUUGUAUCAAGUCCCAAGCUCCAUUCAAGAGAGUCUGGUUAGGCACUGGCAAAAACAGUGAAGAAAGGAAAACGAAUAUCCAAAAAAUCCCCAAACGUAUGCAUAUGACCAACCAUACAUCAGUAAAAAGAAAUCAAUAAUUCAAUAAAGAACACUGAUAGUCAACAGAAAA